GUGGGUUCCCUCCGGGUGCUCCGGCUUCCUCCCACAUCCAAAAACAUGCAGGUUAGGUGGAUUGGAAACUUUAAAUUGUCCUUAGGUGUGCGUGUAGUUGUGAAUGUGUUUGUUUGUCUAUACGUGGCCCUUCGACAGACGGGCGUCCUGUCCAGUGUAUACUCCGCCUCAUGCCCUAUGACUGCUGGGAUAGGCUCCAGCCCCCAUGACCCUUAACUGGACUAAGUGGUUGAAGAUGAGUGAAUCAUUUGGCUUCCUUGAG